UACGUAGGGCGCAAGCGUUGUCCGGAAUUAUUGGGCGUAAAGAGCUCGUAGGCGGUCUGUCGCGUCUGUUGUGAAAACUCGAGGCUCAACCUCGGGCUUGCAGUGGAUACGGGCAGACUAGAGUGCGGUAGGGGUGACUGGAAUUCCUGGUGUAGCGGUGGAAUGCGCAGAUAUCAGGAGGAACACCGAUGGCGAAGGCAGGUCACUGGGCCGCAACUGACGCUGAGGAGCGAAAGCAUGGGGAGCGAACAGG
rnacentral:rRNA from 1 species